ACGGAGGCAGCAGUAGGGAAUAUUGCACAAUGGGGGAAACCCUGAUGCAGCAACGCCACGUGUGGGAAGAAGCAUUUCGGUGUGUAAACCACUGUCGUGAGGAAAUAAGGCAUUGUUUCGGCGAUGUUGAAUGUACCUCGAAAGGAAGCACCGGCAAACUUCGUGCCAGCAGCCGCGGUAAUACGAGGGGUGCAAGCGUUGUUCGGAAUCACUGGGCGUAAAGGGAGCGCAGGCGGAAGUGCAAGCGGUCUGUACAAUACCGGGGCCCAACCCCGGACCUGCAGACCGGACUGCAUUUCUUGGAUAGUUCAGGGGCAAGCGGAAUUCCUGGUGUAGCGGUGGAAUGCGUAGAGAUCAGGAAGAACACCGAUGGCGAAGGCAGCUUGCUGGGGACUUAUCGACGCUCAUGCUCGAAAGUGCGGGUAGCAAACAGGAUUAGAUACCCUGGUA
rnacentral:rRNA from 1 species